UACGAAGUUAUUACGAGUUGGAGCACGCCUGUCGGGACCCGAAAGAUGGUGAACUAUGCCUGAGCGGGGCGAAGCCAGAGGAAACUCUGGUGGAGGCUCGAAGCGAUACUGACGUGCAAAUCGUUCGUCUGACUUGGGUAUAGGGGCGAAUGACUAAUCGAACCAUCUAGUAGCUGGUUCCCUCCGAAGUUUCCCUCAGGAUAGCUGGAGCCCAUUACGAGUUCUAUCAGCUAAAGCCAAUGAUUAGAGGCAUUGGGGACGCAACGUCC
rnacentral:ncRNA from 1 species